rnacentral:tRNA from 1 species
CAGAAGGUAGUUUAAGCAAAAUAUUAACUUUGGGAGUUAAUGAUAGGAGGUUCCUCUUUUUUCUGA